rnacentral:rRNA from 1 species
UGUGCCAGCAGCCGCGGUAAUACGUAGGAUCCAAGCGUUAUCCGGAAUUACUGGGCGUAAAGCGUCUGUAGGCGGCUUUUUAAGUCGGGUGCGAAAUCUUGCGGCUCAACCGUAUAGACUGUGCUCGAAACUAUUUAGCUAGAGGUAGGUAGAGGCAAGUGGAAUUUCUGGUGUAGGAGUGACAUCCGUAGAUAUCAGAAGGAACACCAAUGGCGAAGGCAGCUUGCUGGGCCUUACCUGACGCUCAGAGACGAAAGCGUGGGGAGCGAACGGGAUUAGAUACCCCGGUAGUCCACGCCGUAAACGAUGAUCACUAGUAGUAUGGAGAUUCGACCCUUUGUGCUACGAAGCUAACGCGAUAAGUGAUCCGCCUGGGGAGUACGAGCGCAAGCUUAAAACUCAAAGGAAUUGACGGGGACCCGCACAAGCAGAGGAGGAUGUGGUUUAAUUCGACGCUAAGCGAAGAACCUUACCGAGGCUUGACAUCCCGCGAAGGUCUGGGAAACUAGACUGUGCCUUCGGGAACGCGGUGACAGAUGCUGCAUGGCCGUCGUCAGCUCGUGUCGUGAGAUGUUGGGUUAAGUCCCGCAACGAGCGCAACCCUCGUGAUUAGUUAUAUUUUCUAAUCAGACCGCCCGGGCCAACCGGGAGGAAGGUGGGGAUGACGUCUGGUCAGCAUGGCUCUUACGCCUCGGGCUACACACGUCCUACAAUGGCCACUACAACGCGCUGCCAAACCGCGAGGUGGAGCGAAUCCCGAAAGGCGUCCUCAGUUCGGAUUGCAGGCUGCAACUCGCCUGCAUGAAGUCGGAAUUGCUAGUAAUGGCAGGUCAGCAUACUGCCGUGAAUACGUUCCCGGGUCUUGUACACACCGCCCGUCACACCAUGAGAGUCUGUAACACCCGAAGUCAGUAGUCUAACCUGAUUAGAUUAGGGGGACGCUGCCGAAGGUGGGAUAGAUAAUUGGGGUGAAGUCGUAACAAGGUAACCA